CAGAGAGGGGUGUGUUGACAUUUUUAGGAACAAAGAAACAAGGAGUGCAGAGAGAUGAGCCACCUUGAGAAGGCUAGGUGACAGCAGUGGCAGAAAGGAUCCCACAGUCCCUUCCCUGACACCUCCGUGCCAGGGCAUUGCACCAACCUCAAGCGUCUGUCUCCAGAUAGGAGGAAGCAGGUGCAGAAAGCAGACAUCACCGUGCACGCCUGUAAUCCCAGCACUUGGGAGGAAGAAGCGGGAGAACCAGAAGUUCAAGGUUUGGUAGCAAUCUUGCCUUUACCCACUGAGCCGCCUGGCCAGCUCUCCAACACCUGCUUCCUGCUCAGCUCCUGAGUACCCCAGAGACCUCUGCUCCCUGGGGAGCUUGCAUUGCAUGUGUGGUGACCACUUCAGGGGACAUGCAGACCUGUUUGGAACUCUUGCCCCGACCUAGUGGAUCUGUGACCUUGACUGAGCUCAGUCUCAGCUGCCCCCGCAUCGCAUCGAACAACCUGUGAUCCUGUGUCACACAGGAGCAGAUCAAGAAUCUCACAGAUGUGAAAUGCCAGGGAUGGCACGGGACUGGCAGAGGAGGCCACCAGGGUAAGAACACGGGAGAAACAAGCAGGCAGCCACUGAGCAGCAAGGAAGGCUGAGAGUGGACCCGAGAGUAUCCAGUCACUGCACCACCUCCGCUUUCUCUGGGGGUUCAGAGCCUCAGUUUUCCAGCUAUGAAGAUGUUCUGAAGCCAUAUCCACCCUCCUCAACCUCCAUAAGCCUAGAAAUGGGGUAGAGGAAUUCCCAACAUACACCUGUGCUCGUGGCUCCCUCCAAAUUCCUCCUCUCACAUGCCCUCAUUUGCUCCCCAAGACUCAGGGUCACCCCUGUGGAACUGUCAAUAAGGCUCCCUCUGAGACACACACACACACACACACACACACACACACACACACUCACACUCACACACACACAUACACACACACACACACACACACUCACACUCACACACACACACACACUUCCAAGACUUCCUGCCCUCUUAGGGAGAACCGGGCACCCGGGAGUCCAAAGGUGUCAGCACAGGAGACCCUCAUCA
rnacentral:lncRNA from 1 species